CAGCCGCCGCGGUAAUACGGAGGGUGCAAGCGUUACUCGGAAUUACUGGGCGUAAAGCGUGCGUAGGUGGUGGUUUAAGACCGUUGUGAAAGCCCUGGGCUCAACCUGGGAAUUGCAGUGGAUACUGGGUCACUAGAGUGUGGUAGAGGAUAGUGGAAUUUCCGGUGUAGCAGUGAAAUGCGUAGAGAUCGGAAGGAACAUCUGUGGCGAAGGCGACUAUCUGGGCCAACACUGACACUGAGGCACGAAAGCGUGGGGAGCAAACAGGAUUAGAUACCCCCGUAGUCCCUGUCUCUUAUAC
rnacentral:rRNA from 1 species